AUCAUUGCGAGGUGGUGUCUGAAGGAAGCCGGAGUGCAAAGCUGUAAGCCAAGCCUGCCCCUGACUCGAUCCGGGGAGCAGAAACCUCAUAUAAGGCCGGACACCCUUGGGUGAGUCAGCACAAGAUGACAAAGCCCAGGGCCGAUUUCUUUCAUGAGUUUCGUAGGGGCGUUUCUGAAUGAACUUGACAAGGUGGAAUGAUCGGGC
rfam:Desulfuromonadales bacterium C00003107 5579_contig_51802.2, whole genome shotgun sequence.